GUAAACAAGACUCAAUGCAGGCUAUCUCAUUUGAACUCAGAAGCUAAGCAGUCCUGGACUUGGCAAAUGCUUGGUGCGAAGACCUCUGAGAACCCAGGGUGCC
rnacentral:rRNA from 1 species